CACCCUGAGAUUGGGCUGUCUGUCCCACACCCUGAGAUGGGCUGUCUGUAACUCACCCUGAAUGGGCUGUCUGUACUCACCCUGAGAUGGGCUGUCUGUCCCCACCCUGAGAUGGGCGUCUGUACUCACCCUGGAGAUGGGCUGUCUGUACUCAUCCUGAGAUGGGCUGUCUGUACUCAUCCUGAGAUGGGUGUCUGUCCCCACCCUGAGAUGGUCUGUCUGUCCCCACCCGAGAUGGUCUGUCUGUCCCCCACCCUGAGAUGGUCUGUCUUACUCACCCUGAGAUGGUCUGUCCCCACCCUGAGAUGGGCUGUCUGUACUCACCCUGAGAUGGUCUGUCCCCACCCUGAGAUGGGCCUGUCUGUACUCACCCUGAGAUGGUCUUCCCACCCUGAGAUGGGCUGUCUGUACUCACCCGAAUGGUCUGUCUGUACUCACCUUGAGAUGGUCUGUCUGUACUCACCCUGAGAAGGUCUGUCCCCACCCUGAGAUGGCUGUCCCCACUCUGAGAAUGGUCUGUCUGUACUCACCCUGAGAUGGUCUGUCUGUCCCCACCCUGAU
rnacentral:lncRNA from 1 species